rnacentral:rRNA from 1 species
GACGAACGCUGGCGGCGUGCUUAACACAUGCAAGUCGAACGGAAAGGCCCUGCUUUUGUGGGGUGCUCGAGUGGCGAACGGGUGAGUAACACGUGAGUAACCUGCCCUUGACUUUGGGAUAACUUCAGGAAACUGGGGCUAAUACCGGAUAGGAGCUCCUGCUGCAUGGUGGGGGUUGGAACGUUUCGGCGGUUGGGGAUGGACUCGCGGCUUAUCAGCUUGUUGGUGGGGGAGUGGCUUACCAAGGCUUUGACGGGUAGCCGGCCUGAGAGGGUGGCCGGCCACAUGGGGACUGAGAUACGGCCCAGACUCCAACGGGAGGCAGCAGUGGGGAAUAUUGCACAAUGGGCGGAAGCCUGAUGCAGCAACGCCGCGUGCGGGAUGACGGCCUUCGGGUUGUAAACCGCUUUCGCCUGUGACGAAGCGUGAGUGACGGUAAUGGGUAAAGAAGCACCGGCUAACUACGUG